rnacentral:rRNA from 1 species
AGCGGCGGACGGGUGAGUAACGCGUGGGUAACCUGCCCUGUACACACGGAUAACAUACCGAAAGGUAUGCUAAUACGAGAUAAUAUACUUUUAUCGCAUGGUAGAAGUAUCAAAGCUCUGGCGGUACAGGAUGGACCCGCGUCUGAUUAGCUAGUUGGUAAGGUAACGGCUUACCAAGGCGACGAUCAGUAGCCGACCUGAGAGGGUGAUCGGCCACAUUGGAACUGAGACACGGUCCAAACUCCUACGGGAGGCAGCAGUGGGGAAUAUUGCACAAUGGGCGAAAGCCUGAUGCAGCAACGCCGCGUGAGCGAUGAAGGCCUUCGGGUCGUAAAGCUCUGUCCUCAAGGAAGAUAAUAACGGUACUUGAGGAGGAAGCCCCGGCUAACUACGUGCCAGCAGCCGCGGUAAUACGUAGGGGGCUAGCGUUAUCCAGAAUUACUGGGCGUAAAGGGUGCGUAGGUGGUUUCUUAAGUCAGAGGUGAAAGGCUACGGCUCAACCGUAGUAAGCCUUUGAAACUGGGAAACUUGAGUGCAGGAGAGGAGAGUGGAAUUCCUAGUGUAGCGGUGAAAUGCGUAGAUAUUAGGAGGAACACCAGUUGCGAAGGCGGCUCUCUGGACUGUAACUGACACUGAGGCACGAAAGCGUGGGGAGCAAACAGGAUUAGAUACCCUGGUAGUCCACGCCGUAAACGAUGAGUACUAGCUGU